UCAUAGCCUCCUCUCUUUCACAAAACAUUUCUUGAAUAUUACCUGACAGUAAAUUAUUCUUUGCUUUAUACAUUAUUUGAAUAGUUUUGAACUCCACCAGGUCAAUGAGUUUUAAAGUUUAAAUUGGAAAAAUUUCAAGUUAAUUCUGAAUUAAGUUACCAUGAUCCCAUGUUUUUGCUAUCAUCAACAAGCGUACUGUAUUAACUAAAGUUUAACCAAGGUUGAUAUGAUGAUAGUGGGAGUCUGAUUCCAGAUUGGCUAAUCCAGUCCAGUGUAAAAGCAUAAACUGGUUUUUGAUUCACGCAAACCGUUUGAACGAACAUUUAUCAUUGUGACAGGUUGUGCCAAAAUAAGAAGUGUAAUACAUAAACAACCUGAUGGCGAUAAGUGUAGCAACAUGACAACGUGAUGAACAUGAUGUCAUUAUAUUGUUAUAAACAGACUAACAGCUGAUUUUAAGGCGAUAAGAGAAAAAUGUAGACAACGCAAUCAGUAAACACUGCAGGAAAAAGGGGAUGGCAAGUCGUACGGUCCUCAGUGCUUCUGUUUUUUCUUUUCAUUAUUCAGUGUUUACUGGUGUAUGACAAACCAUUUUAGAGGGGCAUUAACACCACCAAGUGGAGUCAUGACGUUCCCAGUCACAGGCUUUGGUAGUCUCAUUUCUUCUCUUCUGUUCAGUGGAAAUAUGACACCUAGUGGUAAAAUCCAAUAUACCAGUUUGGCCCAGUGUGUCAUAUCAAAGUGGCCCAACCCUACUUGAAAAGACAUGAUGCGUAUCUGAUAUGUACUACUUUAACUUGAAUAAAGCAAUAAAUACUGUAAUUAAUCAAUAAAUGUGGGAAUGAACAUUAGACUAACUGUUAAAAAGUCUAUUUGGGGCAGUUUUUACAUAUUAUUUUCUCUCCCAAGUCAGUCGUUCCAACUGAUAAUCUUAAUAUCAACUAUCAGCCUCAACUUCAGUUGAUAUUUACAGUUUGGAAAAUAUCCUAUCAGUGUUGCUCAAUCAGUCUAUCCCUAGUAUUAACUCAUCUUUCAGUUUUUAGGAUUGUGAUUUUUGCAGUUCUAGUGAAUAUUGUUCAUCACUUCAUUACAGUGGUGCUUACACUUAAAGAUGUAAUCUGGGGCUCUGAGGGAAAACUGGCAUUUAUCACCAUUUUUUCAGCCAAAUAAUUAAGAGAAUUAUCAACAGAUUAAUUGACAAUGAAAUAAUACUAAAUUGCCGAACCAAAUUAUACUAAAAUUUGAAGCUAAAAUCUAAUAUCACAAACACAUUUACCUCAUCAUAAUAUAAAUCCCUAUAUUUAACCAUGAGUGAUUGCAGGCCGACACUUCUCUGUCAUUUAGUAUAAGUAAAAUUUUAUUAUUAUUUUUUUUUAAUAAAAGUUACUGAAAUAAAACUGCUGGAAAGAACUGGAAGCAAUAAAGUUACAUGGUGUUGAACUGUGGUAGCAUCCUGAGUAGAGCCUUUUAUUAACCAAGUCACAAUGCAAAUUAGCAAUUAUAGAGGCUGUUUUUUUAUAGUGAUGUAAACAUCUUUCUCUCACUGUAUAAUAUUAUUAGUCUGAGCUCAUUUUUUCAUCAGUCUCUCAAAAACUAAACCUAAGUGCAAUUUAAUGGAUUGAAAUGACAGUCUUGUCACAGGGUUGUGUUUUUGCC